rnacentral:sRNA from 1 species
GAACACGGCACUCGUUCUCGCAGUGGUAGGAAGGCGCAUGGGCAGGAUGGUGUAACCAUCCAGCGAAAGCACCCAUGCGCGGUAAGCAGGCUCCUGAUGGGGCCUUUUUUAUUGCCCUGAA